AGUGGAUGGAAUUUUUACCUUGUGAGGAUUUUCAAGAAAUCUGCAUAUCUUUUUGAAGUGCUGGAUCAUCCUUCUUUGUUACCCCAGUAAUUGGACACCGGAGCCUGAGUGUGGAUCAGAGCAUGGAGUUACAUGGGAGCUAAUCCUUUAUAGUGCCUAUACUUUCCGGAGAUCCUAUAGGACUGGGGCUCUGAACAUGCCUCUUAUGGAGCAAUUACCCGCACUGGCAAGAAAUCUGCAAGUGUUUAGAGAACUUAUGGAUUUUUCCUGAAGCUGACAAUAAAUCAGAGAGAUAAGUCUAUUCAUGGCGAGACAAGCCCAGCAUCACAUUGUCUGGAGGAGAUGAAUCAUGCAAUGGGUUCUACUAAACAGUUUAUAAAUAAAGCUGCAUCACCAUCUGCUGGCGUCUUACAGUCACAUAUACAGCAAGUUUUCAAACAACUUCACCUGCAUAUUGUUCAUUUUUAUUAUUAUUAGAUCA